GCGCCGUUAGCUCAGUUGGUAGAGCAUCUGACUCUUAAUCAGGCGGUCCACAGUUCGAUCCUGUGACGGCGUACCA
rnacentral:tRNA from 1 species